rnacentral:misc_RNA from 1 species
UUUGAUCUUCCAAGAGGUUUUAUAACUUCAAUUAAAAAAAAAAAUUGUAGUUUAUCCAAACAAAUAUUCCUUAAUAUUUUGAAGGCGAUUUCCUACCUAGUUCUUGAUUGGACACGGGCCCACCGAGCACACUCAACACAGAUACAGGAAGGGUUAAAAAGAGAAUACAUAAAUGAAAAGACGGCAUCAAUUCGUGACUAUUGGAUGCUUUUAGUCAAAACUCAAUAUCAAUGGGAAGAGAUGUCCACAUCCCAACAAUUGCAAUUACAGCGGAAUGUCAACCUCUUCUUCUCUCUCUCUUUGUUCCAAACCCCAUUUCUCACGCCUAAAAUUUCAAUCCCAUCCUCAUACAUUUCCCUUUAACGCCACCUUCUGUUUCCGUUCCCGUUCCGGUUAUUGUCCCGGUUCCCAGAAUAAUUCCGUUGCCUGGACCUAUUAUCAGGAGUAUAAUUCCACCUUGGAUUCAUUCUGGAUCCCUGAUAAUUUCUUCCAUGCAUGUACUCCGGUGAUCUAACAGGACUAUUCUCCGGACUCCAAGACUCAAAACCCUCAUCACCAGCAUAUUCAUUUCUUUCCCAGGGAGGACCCGACUGCAGGUGAGGCUGUACAGGCCCCCUAAGUGAUGCAUCAUAAUUGGUUCGAUUAACUUGAGACGGCGAGCUGGUAGCUAAUCCCUGCCUACCUCUCCAGGAAUCGGGCAUUGAACCCAUGUUUCCUGUAGAUGGCCUAGAAGAGUGGACAAGAGCUGGCUCGGAUAUGAGAGGAUGUGAAUGAGCCGGUGUUGGUGUUGCUAUUGGCAUUGGAAAUGGAACUGCUUGUCUGUCUGGAGUAUUCAUUGCAAAAGAUACAAUAGGAGCUGGUUUAACGUUGUUCACAGUUUCAAUCCGCACUGAAGGCCCAGCUGUGGCUGAGAAGUUGUGUAAGUUAGGGCUAAUAACGGGUAAAUUUUUCGUGGCCAAGCCCAUUUCUGAAACCGGUGUUUGUAAUAUUGAAGAAUUAGUAGGGAGUGACUGAUGUGACGGGAGAACCAUAGAAGGUUGUCGGUUCUCAGGUAUAGUGGAAGUUGUUUGAGGCCACGAGAAGGGAGGAAUUGCUCCAUAUACUUGUUGGUGUUGGAGUGGUAAUUGCAGGCUUGCUUGCUGUUGAGGCAUGCUAAUGUUCCUUGCUUGAUUCUGAGACUGCACCAAGCCGGUGAGCUUAUCUACGGUGGAAAUGUAGGUAGGAACCCCCGGAUCGGUAAAGGCAAUUCUGUUCCCUCCUGAACCUUGCUGUGAAAAGGGAUUCUUGGCAUCUUCUGGUCUCCAGCCACUCUGCAAAAUUUACAGGAUUUUAAAAGGAAAAAAAAUUAUAUCAGUAUGAGAUUUAUAACCAGGAAGAGCAUAAUUAUACUACCAAUUUUGCUCUUCUACAAAUACUUUUUUUUUAUUACUAUUUUUGGUUCUAGUGACGACAGGACAGGUGAGGGGCCCACCAUAUAUGCUACUACACCUAAGACAUCACCCCGCCACUACCAGACCACGGGUUCAUGAUUCAUCAGCCGCGAUCCUCUGCAAAUAACUUCCAAUGGCAUAAAGAAAAUAUAGAAGCAAAUAUUCAUCAACUACGAUUAUAAGACACUCCACUAGCCACUAGCCACAUUUCCCCCAUUUAAAGCGAUUACUCUAGAUUAGGGCUGGAUGGACUCACAUUCUACCGCUCUUGGGAAAGUACUAAAACUAGUCAACUCCCAGGGUAAACCCCGGUCCCGGAAUUGGCUAGGCCUCUUUCAAGUUUUGAUACUUUCUUUUUUCUGAGCCCAUUGUUAAUUGACAGUUACCUUCCAGUUCCUUUAAUUUAAAGCAUGCAUUCACAUAUUCAUAUAAACUAUAUAUAAUCCAGGGGAGCAAAUCUCUCUGCCCCCAAGUAGUUGACAAAAGUUGAAUGAUUUGUGGCAAAACUUGUUGCAUGGGCCUAAGUCACGCACCGUUCCAGAAUUGCUCGAGGGAGUUGGCGAUGGAAGAGAAACUUCAACCCUCUCCUCUAUCUUUCCACUAAAUCCAUUUAAACAACUUGCUAAACCAGCCCCAUUCCUCUUGAUCAUAUCAAGCAGCUUCACAGUUUCCUCGGUUGAUAAAUUACCAGCUUGGCCAGAAGUCAGUGCAAUGACCAAUUCCGGAUUUUUAAGCAAUACAGCAAGCAACUCAAGGUCAGGCUCGGCAGCACCCCCACCAAUAAUUUGGGGCAAGGAGGGUGCCUGUGCAACUACUGUGUUGUUUACUGUAUUUUCAUUAUGUGACACCUGUGUUUCUGCAACAUCAGCAUCAGGAGGUUGUUCAAUUGGGAUAUCUGGGGUCAAUGUGUCAUCGUAGUCCAUCUCACGGUCCCAAGGUUCCCUGGGAUUAGAUGGUAUAUCCUGGGCUGUCCUGUAGAUGGUUUCAAGCUCUCUACGGUUUCUGUUUUUCUGACCAUCAACUUCUUUACUAUUCUCACCAAUGCCCACUCUCCAGAGACUGUUCAGUUUGAUUUCUGAUGGUGUCUGCCAAGGGAUCUGGACCCUCCUGCACAAUUCUCCCAAAGGCUCCUUUGAAUUCAUUUUAUGCUUUGGAUCCAGGUGACCUUCUUGUUUAUCAGAAAUUUUUGGGGGAACUAUUACAGGUUUUUCAGGUUCCCCAAUCUUAGGCUGAGGAGGAAUUUUAGAUGCUGGGAUCAAACUACAGAAUGGAGUAUUUGAAGGCUUAUUAGAACUCUCUGUCUUCAUACUAUUAGCUCCAUUAGAUGAGGAACCAGUUUUCCCAUGCUUUCCCUGCAUGAAUAAAGCACGCAUUUUUGCCUUUUGGAUAUCAUCAGUAGACAUUGGGCGACUUUGACUGACAGAUACUGCUUUUGUGGUCAGGGGGCUUCUGCUAGCUGUUAUAUGGCCUGGCUGUUCCACAAGUUGAACUUUUCUGCGUUCUCUGGUAAGGGAUACACCUAGGACAUGCUUCCUACUUGAAUCAUCUGUUGAUGACGGCAACAACUUUAAUGUUAGCGAAGGCUCCAUUUUC